GCCGCCUUGGAGAUAGCCACUGUGAGGUUACCGACGGACGCUUAGUUGUCCAUUUCUGCCUUGCGGGAAGGUCUGAGACAAGCAGCACCUAACUCUCGUGAUGAGAGGCUCUGCUAACAAGAGUGCAGGUUAACAGAAACGGCUCUGAUAAUUGCACCGCAUACCCGGUGAUUGAGGGUUUCCUUAGGAGGGGGAGGUGUGAUUGUCGGAUUGAGAAUGCCUGUGCUGAGCGCGUAUAGCGAGAUUGGCUGGUGUAACUCAAUUCAGACUACUACCAAGGCGGC
rnacentral:RNase_P_RNA from 1 species